GGCGUGUCGGACACUCCGACACUCAAACACCGCAUGGACACGUGUUGGACACGAUCAACGCCUUGAACACUUACAAGACACUCUCCGUACACGUGUCAAACUAUGGUCAAGCCACGGCUCGGAAAUUCUUGAAAAAAAUUCUGAGUUGCAGAGGCGGCUUUGUGUGUAGAAAUCAACGUGUGUGCAGCUUUGUAGUGACAGGACCCGCGCUGGAAUUUCCUGAAGACCGAAGCGGACCCAGUCUUGAUCCGACAUCAUCCCGAUGUCGGGCCCACCUACUAAGAAAUCGAGACUUUCUACCAAAAAUUUGGCAGAGUCUCCCCUGUAAUUUAAGCAAUCCCAACCAAAAAUUUACUCAACCUACAACAUACACACAAUAAUAAUAAUCCCAACCAGCAGCAUGCUUUCAUACAUCUACAAGUCAUACUAGAGUGGCCUCCGGCCUCACAAGUAAAAUCUACCAUGGCAAUACAGAGCAUCUACUGAAUUUAGAUUACAAGAACAGUUGAGUAGAAGAAUUUACACAGUUCCUAACUAGAAAGAUGCACCGAUUCCGCUUCGUACACCACUUGCACUUCCAAGAGCAACUACUGGCUGGGGGGCGCAAAACAGAAAACAUGUGAGCGGACAAAAAUCAGAUUUGCAGUUAAAACAAUAUAGUAACCCCACCAUGUAAAAAUAAUGCUCAAGUCAUG
rnacentral:lncRNA from 1 species